UGAGUUUUUUGGCUUUCUUGGUCACAUGACAUUGCAUUCAGUAGCUCCUCCAUUUCUGUUUGCUGUUGUGUUUUCGUGGAUCUCCAUGGAAACGCACGCCCAAAAUGUAAUUACGGUGCGUAGCAUUGGACAAAUAGCUAUUUUAUUAAAUGCUAGGUGAUGAAACUCAGAGAUGUGCGUCUGGACAGGAAUAAAAAUACUGGAGGACCACAGAGUUCAGCGAAAAAACAGUAGGUAAUUCAGCCUGUAAUAUUCUCAGAGGACGUCUGAGAAAAACAUAUACAUGGUCGUUCCAGAUGGGAAAAAAUCACAGAAGACCCUCCAAGAAAGAGAAAAGUACCACAGGAACCCCUCUGAGAAACAAAUCCCACAAGAUACGGCUUAAAAAGCCUAUUAGUUACACAUGGUACAGUCCAGCAGUGUUUGAUGGUGACGCCCCGGUAAAUGUCAUGUAACCUACCUCGCCUGGAGCAUAGUCUUGGGGACAAAGUUUCUGGCUGCAAAUUUGGCAGAAAAUGGCAGACAUUUUUACCCCAAUUCUAAAAAAAAUGAAAGGAAAUGAAACCACUGUGUCCAUGUUUUCUAUAGCCAUUGAUCAGAACUGCCUUAGUUAAUGUAUUUUUUUUUUUUUUAACUAUUUCACAUAUUGACCUUCUGUGCAUUUAGGGGAUUUAAGUCCUUAAGCAUUUGGUUACUGUUACCAUCUUAUAUAAAAUAAGCAAUAAACUAGGUUAACUCUUUAACUAAUUAAGCAUUUCACUGUUCAGCUACUCAGGACAAGUUUAUUUGUGUACAAAAAAAUAACCCUGCCAAUCAAUUCUCUGACAAAUUGUAGUAUAUAAUGUAACGUUAUACUGAAUGUUAUAUAUAUCCUGUAACAUGCUUUUAGACACUGCAAUGAAUGCAGCUUUUACUAUUGGCCGCUUGUGUGGAAGCGAACAGGGCAAAAGGGUCAUCCUGGCUAAAGCUCAAGACUACAGGCUGGCAAACAGCCUUCAAACUUUACUAUCGAAUGGAGCAGGUCCAGAGGCAGGACAAGCUGCCUGCUUUGCUUUGAGCUGUUUGGCUUCUGAAGAUGAUGGACAUACUCUGCUGAUGGAGAAUUCCUCUUGUCCAGAGUUACUGAAUGGUCUUCUGAGCUUAUUGAAGAGUGCGGACCCAGACAGUACUUGGUUUGCUGCUAUGACUUUAAGAGUGUUUGUGUCUCGACCAUCAGGAGUGAUUCGAGUUAGAGAACACAGCUAUUUGGAGGAGCAGCUAAAGUACCUGUCUCUCCUUUCAUCCACGGGUCGGGAGCUGCAGGAAGAGAUCAGCGCUUGCCUGAGAAAACUGAGACGCCUUCCCAAACCAUCUCCUAUAACGGUCCAGCACCUUUGCUCGGGGGCCUGCAUUGCAUCAUGGGAGAGACAGGAGCCUGAGAGCGGCCUUGAAGUCACAUAUAGUCUUUUUGAUGGAGACACUGUGUUGUACUGUGGCCUGCAGUGUCAGGUGACUUUGCCUUAUUCCCACCUCCGAUAUAAGCAGUGCCUGUCUCUAUGCCUCAACCUGUCCACCUCAGACGGCGAUGUCAGUCCCUUUAGUGACCUUGUGGAAAUGACAGUGGAGAGGCCAAACCUUAGACCUGGAACUCCAGAGGCUCUGCGUGUGAUUGGCUGCACAGACACUCAGGUUCACUUAAGCUGGAUGGAGCCAAAUGGAGAAAUCAAGCCUAAAUCAUUCCAAGUCUACUGUGAUGAUGUAUUGGUGGAAACCGCUACUGAGCUUGGAACUACAGUGAGCUGUCUGUCUCCCAGCACUACCUAUACGUUAAGUGUAUGUGCACUGGGUCCCGGAGACACGGCAGGUCCUCGCUCCAGCAUUGCAGUACAGACUGAUGAAUGUUACGAUCACGCACCCAGAGGCCUGACGGUGGCUGUCCAGGGAAGACACGAGCUCCACAUCAGCUGGGGUGCUCCAGUAGCACCACUGGGGCGUAUCUUCAACUAUGAGCUGCGUUUGAACGGCUUUGUGGUUUAUUUGGGGAUGGAGAGGGCGCAUACGGCCCGUCGGCUCACUGCUAACACAGCCUACACCUGCACAGUAACAGCCAUCACCUCUAGAGGACGCUGCCAGAGCAGGCCAGUCACCAAAAGGACAGCAAAAGAUGGAUAUAUGAAUGUAAACAGGUCUCUCUAUUCUCCCAGUCGUCAGCCCAUAUCACAUCCUUUACCAUCACCUCCUGACAGAGAGGUGAACGAAGUCAAAUCCAAGGCCAGGAAGUCAUUAUUACACAAACGGCCGCCCAACGUCCAGCUGACAGUUCCCCAUCACACAGACCCUGACCUCAGAAAAGACAGGCACAGGCUGCCCUCUGUUUCAGUGCCCUCCCACAACACUGAGAAAAGCAAAUCUAACCUGAUGUCAGAGGAACAGGGCCUUGUCAGUAAAUUGGAUGUCAAAGCAAUGUGGAAUCGUGCCAGAGAUGCUUCGGAUGCGGCAGCUUUUCCAGUGAAUGCUUCUGAUUGCCCCGUGGUGCUACGCCAAGAACGCCAUGAACGUACACAGCGAUCCCAGCAAUUGUCAGAUUCUGCACUGGACCUCUCAAACUCCAGAUCAAAGAUUAGCCCAGAUGUGCUUUGGGGGUCUGGCAGGUUAGAAUCAGACAUGAGGAGACUGCCUGUCAUCAGCCAGCCGAUUACUGGAAGUGUGAGGCUGCUCCAGCCUGUCUCUUAUCACUGGCCUGAUCUAGAGCGGACAGAGCAGCACCACAAAAAAUCACACAGAAACAGGCUUGGAGCUGGGUCAAGAUUGCACAGUCAGUUAAAGGGACGACAGUACCUUACAUCGUCCUGGACAAAGACGUAGUUGAACAGUAUGGAGUUAUUACUGGAGGUUUGUAUGUGAUGUUUCAGCCAGGAGAACAAAAAUCUGUGUUGUUUUUUUCCAGUAAAAUACUGUACGUCGUGUAUGUCAAGUACUGCUUUUUGAUUAAGUGAAAUCUUUGUUUUCAUGUUUCCAAAUAAAUGACAAUCCAACUUUUUUGGUCCA
ensembl:lncRNA